AAAAAGACAAACCCUGAGUUUUCGUGUCCAACGUUUGACUGUCCGUCUUAUAUGAAAUUUUUUUAUAAUUAGUAUUUUCAUUAUUGUUAGAUGAUAAAAUAUGAUUAAUACUUUAUGCGUGACUUGUCUUUUUAAUUUUUUCUAUAAUUUUUUCAAAUAAGACGGACGGUCAAACGUUGGACACGGAAACCCAGGGUUUGUCUUCUU
rnacentral:pre_miRNA from 1 species